ACCCUCCGCCGCGAUGUGGCGCUGCUUGAUGCCUGUGCGCUGGAUGAUCCACUCAUCCGAGGUGUCGACCAUCUUCGCCAGUUCGGCGUUGGUCAAAAUGCGCUCCGGCAAAUAAGAGCCGUAGCCGAGCACAACCGAACGCAUCACAGUCACGAGACAGCCUCCUGCGCGUUCGGCACGAUCGAAAGAGCGUGGCCGUCGCGGUUGAGUGUUUGAUUGAUCUUGGGCAGGAGAUCGUAGCGAACCAUGUCAUAGCCAACGUCAACU
rnacentral:misc_RNA from 1 species